rnacentral:lncRNA from 12 species
AUGUCUCUUCACCCUUUUAUGCCUGGUAUAUUAAUCACCCGACAAGGGCUCAUGACUUUUCCCUGUUCCAGUUUGCAUUUGCCCUCUAACUACUGGGAGGAGUCCUGCUUUGUCUAUAAAAAGCUGCACUUUGCCAAACAGUGUAACAGAACCGAACUUAGGGAUUCACUGGCCGUCUCAUCCGGGGAGAGAGGACUGAGCUCAGCCAUGUUCGGGAUUGGGAAGAAGCUCGCUGAGGAAGCUGUGCAACAAGCUGAAAGUGCUGCACAGGUGGCAGUUGACACGGUGAAUCAGACUGUGCAGCAAGCAGCGGAGCAGGCUAAGAGUGCUGGUCAGAAAGCACUUGAUGAAGUCUACAAAGUUGCUGAAACUGGUGAAAAAGCUGUAAAAAAUGUAGCAAACCAAGCAACUUCAUGGGGCAAAAGCUUUGGACAAUGAAGAUCAAAAUGUAUCACAUGUAUCACCACUGAAAUUUUUGCAAACAAGUUUCUACUACAUAUACUCUUAAAUAAAGACAAUACUUACACUCUGCCUGGCUUGCAUGUAUUCCUUUGGUUACAGAUACAAAAACACAUUUACCAUCACUGGUCUAGAAAGACUGGAUUACUGCACAGAGCAGGCAGCUAGAGCUCUGCCAUCCUACUAAUGCAAAGUUUUUUUUUGG